rnacentral:rRNA from 1 species
AGUGAACGCUGGCGGCAGGCCUAACACAUGCAAGUCGAACGGCAGCACAGUAAGAGCUUGCUCUUACGGGUGGCGAGUGGCGGACGGGUGAGGAAUACAUCGGAAUCUACUUUUUCGUGGGUGAUAUCGUAGGGAAACUUACGCUAAUACCGCAUACGACCUACGGGUGAAAUCAGGGGAUCUUCGGACCUUGCGCGAUUGAAUGAGCCGAUGGCGGAUUAGCUAGUUGGCGGGGUAAAGGCCCACCAAGGCGACGAUCCGUAGCUGGUCUGAGAGGAUGAUACGGCCACACGGGAACUGGGAAACGGCCCGGAUACCUAGGGGAGGCAGCGGAGGGAAAUAUUGGAAAAGGGGGGAAGGCCGGAGCAAGCAAGACGGGGGGGGUGAAGAAGGCCUUCGAGUUGUAAAGCCCGUUUGUUGGGAAAGAAAAGCAGGAGGGUAAUACCGCACUGUUCGGACGGUACCCAAAAAAAAAGCACCGGCUAACUUCGU